AGUUUGAUCGAUCGGCUCAGGAUGACGCUAGCGGCAGGCUUAACACAUGCAAGUCGAGGGUAUAGUCUUCGGAAUUAGAGACCGGCGCACGGGUGCGUAACGCGUAUGCAAUCUACCUUUCACAAAGGGAUUAGCCCAAGAGAAAUUUGGAUUAAUACCUUAUAGUAAUACGACUUGGCAUCAAGAUGUAUUUAAAGAUUUAUCGGUGAAAGAUGAGCAUGCGUCCCAUUAGCUUGUUGGUAAGGUAACGGCUUACCAAGGCAACGAUGGGUAGGGGUCCUGAGAGGGAGAUCCCCCACACUGGUACUGAGACACGGACCAGACUCCUACGGGAGGCAGCAGUGAGGAAUAUUGGACAAUGGGCGCAAGCCUGAUCCAGCCAUGCCGCGUGCAGGAUGACGGUCCUAUGGAUUGUAAACUGCUUUUGUACAGGAAGAAACCCUUUCACGUGUGGAAGAUUGACGGUACUGUAAGAAUAAGGAUCGGCUAACUCCGUG
rnacentral:rRNA from 1 species